CAGAAGUCAUGACCUUACAGAACUGCGCUCUUCAGGAAUGGUUUACUACAGCUAGCAAUUCAGCUGUGUCAUACUUGAAUUCUUGUUAAUUUGUGGGUGAAGACCAUCUGGUGCUGCAAAAUAUGGGGGUGUGUCUGAGGAAGUCUGCUCUCUUGUGAAAACCACUGACCUCUCUGACUGAUUGGUAAUGCUGAAAACCUCCCAUACAAUCAGCCUCCCCUUCUGAAGCUACCAGCCCCAUAUGUGCACUGACACAGAGUGCGGGAAGGAGAUUGAUAACUCACAGUGAGGGAUAGACAUCCCCUGAAUACACAAAACAUGAGGACCCCUGCAGAGAACAGUGCCGGGAUGCCAGUCACCCUACAGCAAUUCCCUGAACUAGAUACUAGAGUGUGCUCUGCCAUCAUGAAACUCUCCAGCUUCUGGUUUGAUGGUGAUUCUGUGUGGAUCCCGUGUUCCAGUGGAGAUAUGUACUUCCAGUCGACCUCUGUUCAGGAACACUGCAUAGUAUGCCUGCAACAUAUACAUUGCUACAUGAAAGUUUUUCAUACCUGUCCAGUCUGUCUGCGCUUUCUCCUCGGAGGGGGAGCUUUCUUCCUAGU